CAUUACAACAGCUAUUAUCUACUCGAACUUGAUUCCUAAUUGGAUAUCUGCGAUAAUUUUGGAGCUAAUACGUGCACCAAAUUCCUUUUCUCUGAAGAGGGAGCACUUAUUAGAUGAAGACCAAUCGGGGCAACCCGAAAUGGUGACUCUGAAUAAUUUCGCUGAUCGCAUGGUCUAGUACCGGCGACGUAUCGUUCGAGUGUCUGCCUUAUCAACUUUCGAUGGAAGUCUAUGUGACUACCAUGGUUGUGACGGGUAACGGAGAAUAAGGGUUCGACUCCGGAGAGGGAGCCUGAGAAACGGCUACCACAUCCAAGGAAGGCAGCAGGCGCGUAAAUUACCCACUCUCAAUUCGAGGAGGUAGUAACUAUCAAUACCGAGACAGAUCUCUUUGAGGCCUGUUAUCGGAAUGGAAACAAUUUAAAUCCUUUAAUGAGGAUCUAUGAGAGGGCAAGUCUGGUGCCAGCAGCCGCGGUAAUUCCAGCUCUCAAAGUGUAUAUCGUCAUUGCUGCGGUUAAAAAGCUCGUAGUUGGAUCUGAGCCUGUGGACGUGGUGUUGUGAAUGCAACAACUGCGAUCCUGGGUUAUUUUGUCGGUUUUCUGUAGCUUGUCUUUAUUGGCUUGAUGCAGUGGCUGGCAUAUUACCUUGAAUAAAUCAGAAUGCUCAAUAUAAGCGUUUUGCUUGUAUGAUUGUGCAUGGAAUAAUGGAAUAGGACUUCGGUUCGUUCUGUUGGUCUUAGGAUCGGUGUAAUGGUUAAGAGGGGCAGACGGGGGCAUCCGUAUCGCUGCGUGAGAGGUGAAAUUCUUGGACCGCAGCGGGACGCACAACUGCGAAAGCAUU
rnacentral:rRNA from 1 species